AAUAGCUAAACUUAUAUAUAUAUUAUACGACAGCAGCUUUUUUAUAAAAUGGAAAACAUUUUUUGUACGUACUUUGGCAAGCAGAACUUGCAUUUCUAAAUCUGCAAAUCGUCUUCCUAAACACAUACGUGCGCCAUGACCAUAAGGUAACGAUGCAAAGGGGUGCAAAAUUUCGUUAGAAGAUUCUUUUAGCCACCGCUUUGGCUUAAACGUUUUUGCAUCUGCUACAUAUUGUUUCAUAUUUCCCGUUACUACAGUUGGGAA